rnacentral:rRNA from 1 species
AAUCAACGCUGGCGGCGUGCCUCAGACAUGCAAGUCGAACGCGAAAGUCUCCUUCGGGGGACAAGUAGAGUGGCGCACGGGUGAGUAACACGUAGGUAAUCUACCUUCGGAUGGGGAAUAACAACCGGAAACGGUUGCUAAUACCGCAUAAUGCAGCGGCACCUAAUGGUGACAGUUGUUAAAGCGGGGGAUCGAAAGACCUCGCGUCUGAAGAGGAGCCUGCGGCGGAUUAGCUGUUGGUAGGGUAACGGCCUACCAAGGCGACGAUCCGUAGCCGGCCUGAGAGGGCGGUCGGCCACACUGACACUGACAUACGGGUCAGACUCCUACGGGAGGCAGCAGUCGGGAAUUUUGGGCAAUGGGCGAAAGCCUGACCCAGCAACGCCGCGUGAAGGAUGAAAUCCCUCGGGAUGUAAACUUCGCAAGAAC